UACAGAGGAUGCAAGCGUUAUCCGGAAUGAUUGGGCGUAAAGCGUCUGUAGGUGGCUUUUUAAGUCCGCCGUCAAAUCCCAGGGCUCAACCUGGGAAUGGCCGUUGAAACUGGCGAACUGGAGUGUGGCAGAGGGGGGUGGAAUUCCGCGUGUAGCAGUGAAAUGCGUAGAGAUGCGGAGGAACACCGAUGGCGAAGGCAGCCCCCUGGGCUGACACUGACGCUCAGGCACGAAAGCGUGGGGAGCAAACAGG
rnacentral:rRNA from 1 species